rnacentral:rRNA from 1 species
GACGAACGCUGGCGGCGUGCUUAACACAUGCAAGUCGAACGGAAAGGCCCUGCUUUUGUGGGGUGCUCGAGUGGCGAACGGGUGUGUAACAUGUGAGUAACCUGCCCUUGACUUUGGGAUAACUUCAGGAAACUGGGGCUAAUACCGGCUAGGAGCUCCUGCUGCAUGGUGGGGGUUGGAAAGUUUCGGCGGUUGGGGAUGGACUCGCGGCUUAUCAGCUUGUUGGUGGGGUAGUGGCUUACCAAGGCUUCGACGGGUAGCCGGCCUGAGAGGGGGACCAGCCACAUUGGGACUAAGAUACGGCCCAGACUCCUACGGGAGGCAGCAGUGGGAAAUAUUGCACAGUGAGCGGAAGCCUGAUGCAGCAACGCCGCGUGCGGGAUGACGGCCUUCGGGUUGUAAACCGCUUUCGCCUGUGACGAAGCGUGAGUGACGGUAAUGGGUAAAGAAGCACCGGCUAACUACGUG